UUACGUCCAUAUCACAUUGAAACACCGGUUCGGGUACGAUCACCGAAGUUAAGCCACGAUGAGCCUGGUCAGUACCUAGAUGGGUGACCGCUUGAAAAUACCAGGUGCU